CCAUAAACUCUACUCUCCUCGCAUAUCUUCUUCUUCUCUUUUUUAUUCAUUAAUAAUUAGAAUCCAAAGCGAACCCGCCAGGCGGCCCUCAGUUCUCCGGUUCGGGGGUGGCCGCAGCCGCCGCCGGCGGAGGCGGACGGGAGAGCGCCGCAGCCGAGAGGGCGUCGGCGAGGGCGCGCAUCGCCUUCACCUGCAUCUCCAACGCCGCCACGUAGUCUACCGCCUCCUCCAGCAGGCUCGGCGCCGACAGCUUCCGGCACCCCGGCACCAGCCGGGACAGAACGCGAAGGCGAUCCCUCACCUUCUUCCCCUUCAGCGCCGCCGGUGGAGGUGGCGGUGCUGCGGCCUUCCUGCCCGGCCGAGUCCGCCGCCGCAGGAUCUUCCCGCCGGCCUUGAGGAGGAGCUUGCGCCGGCGGCAGCGGCCGAAGAGGAUGGCCCGGCUCCACCGAGACUGUCCCCGGGCGGUGAGGGCGAGGGCGGAGUCUGCCGCCUCCUUGACGGCCCGGGCGCCGCCUCCGGCGGCGGAGGCGCGGCCGGCGCGAGCGGAGCGGAGGGCCUCGAGGAGGCGGCGCCCGUAGAUCCGCUCUUGAGCACCGGUCCGCCACUUGUUCUGGGGCUGGGGGUGUGGACCGGGCCGUUGUUUCUUCC
rnacentral:lncRNA from 1 species